GACGAACCGUGCGAACGUUGUUCGGAAUCACUGGGCUUAAAGGGCGCGUAGGCGGCCCGCACAAGUCUGCGGUGAAAACCCCCGGCUUAACCGGGGGCCGGCCGUGGAAACUGUCGGGCUGGAGGCUGGGAGAGGGCAGCGGAAUUCCCGGUGUAGCGGUGAAAUGCGUAGAGAUCGGGAGGAACACCGGCGGCGAAGGCGGCUGCCUGGACCAGUCCUGACGCUGAGGCGCGAAAGCUAGGGGAGCAAACAGG
rnacentral:rRNA from 1 species